GGGCUUGAAACAUCAGUUCUUGUAGGAUAGCCAAAAUUAAGCAACAUUGAGCCUGGUCAGUACUUAGAUGGGUGACCACUUGGGAAUACCAGUUGCUGUAAG